rnacentral:rRNA from 1 species
UACGUAGGAUGCAAGCGUUGUCCGGAUUUACUGGGCGUAAAGCGCACGUAGGCGGAUCGUUAAGUCAGGGGGUGAAAUCCUGGAGCUCAACUCCAGAACUGCCUUUGAUACUGGCGAUCUUGAGUCCGGAAGAGGUGAGUGGAACUCCUAGUGUAGAGGUGGAAUUCGUAGAUAUUAGGAAGAACACCAGUGGCGAAGGCGGCUCACUGGUCCGGUACUGACGCUGAGGUGCGAAAGCGUGGGGAGCAA